GACGAACGCUGGCGGCGUGCCUAACACAUGCAAGUCGAACGGUGAAGCGCCUUCCUUUUUGGUGGGUGUGGAUGAGUGGCGAACGGGUGAGUAACACGUGAGUAACCUGCCACCUUCUUCUGGAUAACCGCAUGAAAGUGUGGCUAAUACGGGAUAUUCUGGGUCUGUCGCAUGAUGGGUCUGGGAAAGAUAUUGUUUCGGUGGGGGAUGGGCUCGCGGCCUAUCAGCUUGUUGGUGGGGUGAUGGCCUACCAAGGCGGUGACGGGUAGCCGGCCUGAGAGGGUGGACCAUCACGCAAGGACUGAGACGCCGAGCAGACUCCUACGGGAAGCAGCAGUGGGGAAUAAUGCACGAGGGGAGGAAGGCUGAUGCAGCGACGCCUCGUGAAGGAUGGAGUCCGUCUGGUUGUGAACCUCUUUCGGCAGUGAAGCAAGCCUGCCUCAUUUGUGGGUGGGUUGACGGUAGCUAGAUAAGAAGCGCCGGCUAACUACGUG
rnacentral:rRNA from 1 species